CACGUAGGGCGCAAGCGUUGUCCGGAAUUAUUGGGCGUAAAGAGCUCGUAGGCGGCUUAUUGCGUCUGCUGUGAAAUCCCGGGGCUUAACUCCGUGCUUGCAGUGGAUACGGGCAGGCUAGAGGCAGGCAGGGGAGAAUGGAAUUCCCGGUGUAGCGGUGAAAUGCGCAGAUAUCGGGAGGAACACCGGUGGCGAAGGCGGUUCUCUGGGCCUGUACUGACGCUGAGGAGCGAAAGCGUGGGGAGCGAACAGG
rnacentral:rRNA from 1 species